CCUACGGGGGGCAGCAGUGAGGAAUAUUGGUCAAUGGGCGCAAGCCUGAACCAGCCAAGUCGCGUGAGGGAUGACGGUCCUAUGGAUUGUAAACCUCUUUUGUCGGGGAGCAAGGCCCGCCACGUGUGGCGGGAAGGAGAGUACCCGAAGAAAACGCAUCGGCUAACUCCGUGCCAGCAGCCGCGGUAAUACGGAAGAUGCGAGCGUUAUCCGUAUUUAUUGGGUUUAAAGGGUGCGUAGGCGGAAGGUUAAGUCAGCGGUAAAAUGUCGGUGCUCAAGACCGGCCUGCCGUUGAAACUGGUCUUCUUGAGUGAGCUAGAAGUAUGCGGAAUGCGUGGUGUAGCGGUGAAAUGCAUAGAUAUCACGCAGAACUCCGAUUGCGAAGGCAGCAUACCGGCGCUCAACUGACGCUGAGGCACGAAAGCGUGGGGAUCGAACAGGAUUAGAUACCCCAGUAGUC
rnacentral:rRNA from 1 species